UGUGCCUGGUGGAAGCAGUAAAG
rnacentral:piRNA from 1 species